AAAAUUCUUUUGAUUAUGCUACGUUGAAGAGCUGCGGUAAAUUCCUCAAGGUGAAAUGCAUUUGUCCUAGCUGCGCAUGAAUGUUGUGGACGAAGAAGUAGGGUCAAGCAUAACCACGACCUUCUCCUCCUCCGUAACAACCUAAACCAUCUCUUUUAUGGUCUAGGACAGGACAGAGAGAACUGCCAUCGCGAACUCUGGUGUAUCGCUCAUUUUUUACGGGCGAUUGUGGAGCAGCGGCUUAACAUGGAGCCCGAGAAAAUGAUCACCUCCCCCCA
rnacentral:lncRNA from 1 species